UAAGUGUGGAAACUUAUACGCUCCUUGC
rnacentral:sRNA from 1 species